rnacentral:tRNA from 1 species
GUCCACGUAGCUUACACACACCUAAAGCGUGGCACUGAAGAUGCCAAGACGGCCGCUAACCCGCACCCGAGGAC